rnacentral:rRNA from 1 species
CCUGGUUGAUCCUGCCAGUAGUCAUAUGCUUGUCUCAAAGACUAAGCCAUGCACGUCUUCGUGUGAACACUUUGCACUGUAAAACUGCGAAUGGCUCAUUAAAUCAGUUAUCAUUUAUUUGGUGGUCUCGUUACCACUCGGAUAACCGUGGUAAUUCUAGAGCGAAUACGUGCAGCAUAUCCCGACYUCUGGAAGGGAUGUAUUUAUUGGAUAAAAGGCCGAUUCGGGCUUGCCCGUUGUUGUGGCGAAUCAUGGUGACUUGUCGAAUCGGAUGGCCUUUGAGCCGGCGAUGUUYCAUUCAAAUUUCUGCCCUAUCAACUUUCAAUGGUAGGAUAGAGUCCUACCAUGGUGGUAACGGGUGACGGAGAAUUAGGGUUCGAUUCCGACAGGGAGCUUGAGAGAUGGCUACCACAUCCAAGGAAGGCAGCAGGCGCGUAAAUUACCCAAUCCUCACAUAGGGAGGUAGUGACAAUAAAUAACAAUACUGGGCUCUUUAGAGUCAGGUAAUUGGAAUGAGAACAGUCAUAAACUCCUUGAACGAGGAUCCAUUGAAGGGCAAGUCUGGUGCCAGCAGCCGCGGUAAUUCCAUCUCCAAUAGCGUAUAUUUAAGUUGUUGCAGUUAAAAAGCUCGUAGUUGGAUUUUGGGUGGGAGGAGUUGGUCCGCUUUUGUGGGCGUUUACCGGCCCUUUCGCCUUUCUUGCCGGGUAUGCGUUCCUUGCCUUUAUUGGCCGGGAUCCAGAGCGGGCGCUGUUACUUUGAAAAAAUUAGAAUGUUCAAAGCAGGCCUGUGCUCUCAACAUAUUAGCAAGGAAUAACGCGAUAGGACUGUGGUCCUAUUUCGUUGGUCUUCGGGAUUGGAGUAAUGAUUAAUAGAGAUGGUUGGGGGCAUUCGUAUUCCAUUGUCAGAGGUGAAAUUCUUGGAUUUAUGGAUGACGAACUUYUGCGAAAGCAUUUGCCAAGGACGUUCUCAUUAAUCAAGAACGAAAGUUGGGGGAUCGAAGACGAUCAGAUACCGUCCCAGUCUCAACCAUAAACGAUGCCGACCUGGGAUUGGCGGAUAUCUAUUGGAUGACUCUGCCAGCACCUUGUGAGAAAUCAAAGUUUACKGGUUCCGGGGGGAGUAUGGUCGCAAGGCUGAAACUUAAGGGAAUUGACCGAAGGGCACCACCAGGCGUGAGCCUGCGGCUUAAUUUGACUCAACACGGGGAAACUCACCARGUCUAGACAUAGCAAGGAAUGACAGAUUUAGAGCUCUUUCUUGAUUCUAUGGGUGGUGGUGCAUGGYCGUUCUUAGUUGGUGGAGUGAUUUGUYUGGUUAAUUCYGUUAACGAACGAGACCUCAGCUGGCGGCUGGCCYGGCGCAGAGGGGCGUGUGGUGUAGGUCGASGGUGGGGGAAGUGGGCAGGGUCCGGGGCCUUGUGUCGUUGCUCCCCCUUCAUCCUGUCCGCCUCCGCAGGUUGUUACCUCGACCCAGCCACACUC